rnacentral:misc_RNA from 1 species
UACGGAGGGUGCAAGCAUUAAUCGGAAUUACUGGGCGUAAAGCGUGCGUAGGCGGUCUCGUAAGUCGGAUGUGAAAGCCCCGGGCUCAACCUGGGAACUGCAUUCGAGACUGUGAGGCUUGAGUGCGGAAGAGGGAAGUGGAAUUUCCGGUGUAGCGGUGAAAUGCGUAGAUAUCGGAAGGAACACCAGUGGCGAAAGCGACUUCCUGGUCCAGCACUGACGCUCAGGCACGAAAGCGUGGGGAGCAAACAGG